rnacentral:miRNA from 1 species
CACUAAGGGACCUAAAGGUU